rnacentral:rRNA from 1 species
AAUAUUGGACAAUGGGCGCAAGCCUGAUCCAGCCAUGCCGCGUGGAUGAUGAAGGCCUUAGGGUUGUAAAGUCCUUUUAACGGGGAAGAUAAUGACGGUACCCGUAGAAUAAGCCCCGGCUAACUUCGUGCCAGCAGCCGCGGUAAUACGAAGGGGGCUAGCGUUGCUCGGAAUCGCUGGGCGUAAAGCGCACGUAGGCGGCUUUCUAAGUCAGGGGUGAAAUCCUGGAGCUCAACUCCAGAACUGCCUCUGAUACUGGAAAGCUUGAGUUCGGGAGAGGUGAGUGGAACUGCGAGUGUAGAGGUGAAAUUCGUAGAUAUUCGCAAGAACACCAGUGGCGAAGGCGGCUCACUGGCCCGAUACUGACGCUGAGGUGCGAAAGCGUGGGGAGCAAACAGG